AUGGCGUUCCUGCUGCGAGACGCGCAGGGUGACGGCAAUGUCAGCCCCCGCUUGGCUUCGUUGGGUGAAACGGCUCCUGCUCACGCUGCCUGUCACUUCCCUCCCAGGGAAGGCUGUUACAAACAGCAGCUCUCCGUGCUGCGCGGAGGCCGGGUUUCUUCGGGGGCCAAGGCUGCGGGAGGGUGGGCUUGGAUGGCGCAUGCUGUUCCUCAUCCGGUGGCAGCAGGUGACACAGGUCCUGAGUGCCUGAGCCAGCAAAGCGCUCAGGGCUCCUCCUGGGAAGAAAAGGGAGUGGAAAAGCGUCGGUUCUCGCUCUCUUCCAACGCUCACGUUGCUUGUGUGACCGUGACAGCCUCGUCGUCACCUGGCAGAGAGGAGCCCAGCACCUCGGCUCUGCAGAGCCCAGCGCUGGAUCCCUCCGCACAGGGUGCUCGGGGAGCGCUGUUAAUUGAGGGAAAAAAGCAAGGCCUGGAUUCACGACGGCAGGCGCUGCCCUGCAAGCCCGUGAGCCCCACGCGGCGUUUUUUAGGCGUCCGGCCGCGCGUGGGGCUCGGCCCCGGGGCUGGGGCAGGCACGGUGCUAAGCCAGCUCCUCAUCCCAGCCAGGGCAGCACCCUCUUGGGCGCAAUUCAUUUAAUUGGUGAGUAUACGCUUGUUUUUAUAUUGAUUUUUCCAUUGGCAACCCAAAACUCGGGCGAUUCCCCCCAGUUGUUGUCAUUUAACGCACCGCCUUCCAGGCCACCUUGAGCUGGAAACCCCGGACUUUUGCAACGCCUGGGGAUUUGGCUCAACUUCAUCUUCCUCCAAAGCACCUGUUUCUCCUACUCAAGUCAUGAGCGGGAUCAGGGCUCGGCCCGGCAGCUGACCCUCGAGCCGUGGCGCGGCCACGCUGCGCUGCAGGGCGUCUGCCACAUUUUGAAGACAAAACUGCUUUUUUCAACAGCGUUAAGUUUUAACUCCGCGGCGGAAGCCCCGUUUGAGGCUGGAGCUGUCGUCUACUGCUUGCUGCAUAGGCAAUGAGAGGCGAUUCCUGACAAAAUGGGGGAUACGAGGGCGGGGAAGGGACACUGAGGCGCCGGCGGAGGGAAGGUGACGCGUCAGGUCUCUCUGCUUCCAGGCUGCCCUGAAACUGAAAACAGGUUUUCUGUUUUUUUUGGUUAAUAUCCCAAUCUCCCCCCCAAGAUUUUCUUCCCUCCCACAGAGAGG
rnacentral:lncRNA from 1 species